rnacentral:rRNA from 1 species
CGUAGGUGGCAAGCGUUGUCCGGAUUUAUGGGUUUAAAGGGUGCGUAGGCGGCUUUGUAAGUCAGUGGUGAAAUAUGGCAGCUCAACUGUCAGGGUGCCAUUGAUACUGCGGAGCUUGAGUACAGAUGAGGUAGGCGGAAUUGACGGUGUAGCGGUGAAAUGCUUAGAUAUCGUCAAGAACACCGAUAGCGAAGGCAGCUUACUAGGCUGUAACUGACGCUGAGGCACGAAAGUGUGGGGAUCAAACAGGAUUAGAUACCCUGGUAGUCCACACUGUAAACGUUGAUGACUCGCUGUUGGCGAUACACGGCCAGCGGCAGAGAGAAAUCGUUAAGUCAUCCACCUGGGGAGUACGCCGGCAACGGUG